rnacentral:rRNA from 1 species
CUAAUACCGGAUAAUCCUUUUCCUCUCAUGAGGAAAAGCUGAAAGACGGUUUACGCUGUCACUUACAGAUGGGCCCGCGGCGCAUUAGCUAGUUGGUGAGGUAACGGCUCACCAAGGCGACGAUGCGUAGCCGACCUGAGAGGGUGAUCGGCCACACUGGGACUGAGACACGGCCCAGACUCCUACGGGAGGCAGCAGUAGGGAAUCUUCCGCAAUGGACGAAAGUCUGACGGAGCAACGCCGCGUGAGUGAUGAAGGUUUUCGGAUCGUAAAACUCUGUUGUUAGGGAAGAACAAGUACAAGAGUAACUGCUUGUACCUUGACGGUACCUAACCAGAAAGCCACGGCUAACUACGUGCCAGCAGCCGCGGUAAUACGUAGGUGGCAAGCGUUGUCCGGAAUUAUUGGGCGUAAAGCGCGCGCAGGCGGUCCUUUAAGUCUGAUGUGAAAGCCCACGGCUCAACCGUGGAGGGUCAUUGGAAACUGGGGGACUUGAGUGCAGAAGAGAAGAGUGGAAUUCCACGUGUAGCGGUGAAAUGCGUAGAGAUGUGGAGGAACACCAGUGGCGAAGGC